rnacentral:ncRNA from 2 species
AUGUUAUCAAGAAAGGCGGAGGGAUUAGACCCUAUGAAGCCUUAGCAACCCUUGUAUAUGUGAAGUUCACAAACAAGAAGGUGCUAAAUUCUACUAAUUGAUUUAUCGGUUGGAUAGAUAACCC